GCAACACUAAAAAAUGGAUUGGAAAAGUUCUUAAUAUGGGAUUCGCUAAGCCGGUUUUUGAAAACAAAUGCAUUAAGUUAGCAUAAUUGCAGCAAUUGCCAAUUCAAUUUUCCAUCUCAAUGUGCUUUUAAACCUCACAUAGGGCAUAAUUCGAAAAUAGCAUGUUUUUCCAUAAGUAAUAAUAUACCUAUGGGGAAAAAAAUUGGUUAUCCUCACGCUUAUAUAAUACUGCUUCCUAAAUUGAGUUUCUGUUGGCAUACUGGAUUGACCUCUUUGACAGCAAGUGGUUCAUACCAUUGAGGGCCAAACCCAGCAGCUUUCCUUGCUUCCUCAUUAAAAGGUGGUUUUAAUGGUCCUCUGAAGUGUGUUCUCACUAUAGCAUGAAACUUCUGAACAAUCUCUUCAUUCUCCUCAGUAAUUUCACUUUCUGCCUCUCCACUUUCUUGAGAACUCAAGCUUUGCUCGAAACUGCAAUGUUUAGACUUCAAGCAUAGAUACUUAAACCACCUGAUUCCAGCAGCACAGUGGGUAAUCUCUUCUGGAUACACCACUCUGUCCAAUAAAUCAGCUGUUUCAUUGUCACCUCCAUUGCGGAACCGAGAGAUAGUUGUGGGCAGCACAUCAAGUCCCCUGGCCUCAUGGACACAAUGCUCAAUUGCUAAACGUGCCAAUAGGUCCUUAGACGUAGCAAUGGCCGAAUCCCAUAGGCCAUCAUGAGCUGGUAAUGCUCCAUAAAAAGAACCUAGCUCCUCAAGCCGUUUUGCAAGCAGAGUGAAGUGUCUGGCCUCAUCUUGAGCAACCUUCACAAAAUCUGUAAAGAAGUCUCUAGGCAUUGCCUCUUGCUUACCAAAACGAGCAAUUAUAUCCCAAGACAAGUCAAUAGCCCAACUCUCAGUGUGAACAAGGCUAUGCACAAUGGCCUGCCUGCUCUGCAAGCUACCAGCUUUUCGUAGCUUUGGCAUUAAACCUGGUGCCAUCAACUUAACCUGCACCAAUAUUUUUCAUCGUUUUUUAGGUCAAUAGUAGAGAAACCAAUAUUUUUCAUUACUAUUUCGUUCACGCAUUUCAUCGAACAUAUAAUAAGCACAAAACUAAUUGAAAGCUCAAGAGAAUCUAAGCAAACGUUGGUGAGACGGGCGGGCCGAUCAGGCACGGGGAGGUCCAGGGAAGGGAGAUAGGGCUGGGAAAUGGUCCCUUGCAGCCAUUGGCAAGCUACGGAGUCACUUAGCCUGGCCUUCUCAAAAGGGUCCGGCGUGUUAAGUACCCUUAACGCCACUUCCACUAGGGUCUCGGCUUCUGAUCCUUGUUGCGGGCUCAUCUCUACGCUAGGCCUUCAUGCCCAUGAAGGGAAGAAGAGAGAAGCUUU
rnacentral:misc_RNA from 1 species